CCAACGGGAGGCUGCAGUGGGGAAUAUUGGACAAUGGGCGAAAGCCUGAUCCAGCCAUGCCGCGUGAGUGAUGAAGGCCUUAGGGUUGUAAAGCUCUUUCGCCGACGAAGAUAAUGACGGUAGUCGGAGAAGAAGCCCCGGCUAACUUCGUGCCAGCAGCCGCGGUAAUACGAAGGGGGCUAGCGUUGCUCGGAAUCACUGGGCGUAAAGCGCACGUAGGCGGAUUGUUAAGUCAGGGGUGAAAGCCUGGAGCUCAACUCCAGAACUGCCCUUGAUACUGGCAAUCUCGAGUCCGGAAGAGGUAAGUGGAACUCCGAGUGUAGAGGUGAAAUUCGUAGAUAUUCGGAAGAACACCAGUGGCGAAGGCGGCUUACUGGUCCGGUACUGACGCUGAGGUGCGAAAGCGUGGGGAGCAAACA
rnacentral:rRNA from 1 species